UACAGAGGGGGCAAGCGUUAUUCGGAAUUAUUGGGCGUAAAGAGCUCGUAGGCGGCCUGUCGCGUCGACCGUGAAAACCCGCAGCUCAACUGCGGGCUUGCGGUCGAUACGGGCAGGCUGGAGUUCGGUAGGGGAGACUGGAAUUCCUGGUGUAGCGGUGAAAUGCGCAGAUAUCAGGAGGAAUACCGAUGGCGAAGGCAGGUCUCUGGGCUAACACUGACGCUCAUGCACGAAAGCGUGGGGAGCAAACAGG
rnacentral:rRNA from 1 species